rnacentral:miRNA from 1 species
CACGUCCUCCAGCUUUUUCCUUAGUGGCCAAUUCCUGAGAAAAGGGCCAAUGCGCUUCCA